rnacentral:rRNA from 1 species
CCUGGCGGCGAGCGGCGAACGGGUGAGUAAUAUAUCGGAACGUACCCAAGAGUGGGGGAUAACGUAGCGAAAGUUACGCUAAUACCGCAUACGAUCUAAGGAUGAAAGCAGGGGAUCUUCGGACCUUGUGCUCCUGGAGCGGCCGAUAUCUGAUUAGCUAGUUGGUGAGGUAAAGGCUCACCAAGGCUACGAUCAGUAGCUGGUCUGAGAGGACGACCAGCCACACUGGAACUGAGACACGGUCCAGACUCCUACGGGAGGCAGCAGUGGGGAAUUUUGGACAAUGGGCGAAAGCCUGAUCCAGCAAUGCCGCGUGAGUGAAGAAGGCCUUCGGGUUGUAAAGCUCUUUUGUCAGGGAAGAAACGGUUUGGGCUAAUAUCCUGAGCUAAUGACGGUACCUGAAGAAUAAGCACCGGCUAACUACGUGCCAGCAGCCGCGGUAAUACGUAGGGUGCAAGCGUUAAUCGGAAUUACUGGGCGUAAAGCGUGCGCAGGCGGUUUUGUAAGUCUGACGUGAAAUCCCCGGGCUCAACCUGGGA